rnacentral:rRNA from 1 species
CCUACGGGUGGCAGCAGUGAGGAAUAUUGGUCAAUGGGCGCGAGCCUGAACCAGCCAAGUAGCGUGAAGGAUGACUGCCCUACGGGUUGUAAACUUCUUUUAUAAAGGAAUAAAGUGAGGCACGUGUGCCUUUUUGUAUGUACUUUAUGAUUAAGGCUCGGCUAACUCCGUGCCAGCAGCCGCGGUAAUACGGAGGAUCCGAGCGUUAUCAGGAUUUAUUGGGUUUAAAGGGGGCGUAGAUGGGUUGGUAAGUCAGUUGUGAAAGUUUGCGGCUCAACCGUAAAAUUGCAAUUGAUACUGGCAGUCUAGAGUACAGUUGAGGUAGGCGGAAUUCGUGGUGUAGCGGUGAAAUGCUUAGAUAUCACGAAGAACACCGAUUGCGAAGGCAGCUUACUAAACUGCCACUGACAUUGAUGCUCGAAAGUGUGGGGAGCAAACAGGAUUAGAUACCCGGGUAGUC